rnacentral:rRNA from 1 species
CAAGUCGAACGCGAAAGUCCCGCAAGGGAUCAGUAGAGUGGCAAACGGGUGAGUAACGCGUGGGUGACCUGCCUUCGAGUGGGGGAUAACGUCCCGAAAGGGUCGCUAAUACCGCAUGACAUCCUGCCUUUGAAGAGGCGGAGAUCAAAGCCGGGGACCGCAAGGCCUGGCGCUUGAAGAGGGGCCCGCGUCCGAUUAGCUAGUUGGUGGGGUAACGGCUCACCAAGGCAACGAUCGGUAGCCGGCCUGAGAGGGCGGACGGCCACACUGGGACUGAGACACGGCCCAGACUCCUACGGGAGGCAGCAGUAGGGAAUUGUUCGCAAUGGGCGCAAGCCUGACGACGCAACGCCGCGUGGAGGAUGAAGAUCUUCGGGUCGUAAACUCCUUUCGAUUGGGACGAACUUCUCAGGGAUUAAUAAUCUCUGAGGUUGACGGUACCGAGAGAAGAAGCCCCGGCUAACUCCGUGCCAGCAGCCGCGGUAAUACGGGGGGGGCAAGCGUUGUUCGGAAUUACUGGGCGUAAAGGGCUCGUAGGCGGCCAACUAAGUCAGACGUGAAAUCCCUCGGCUUAACCGGGGAACUGCGUCUGAUACUGGAUGGCUUGAGUUUGGGAGAGGGAUGCGGAAUUCCAGGUGUAGCGGUGAAAUGCGUAGAUAUCUGGAGGAACACCGGUGGCGAAGGCGGCAUCCUGGACCAAUACUGACGCUGAGGAGCGAAAGCCAGGGGAGCAAACGGGAUUAGAUACCCCGGUAGUCCUGGCCCUAAACGAUGAAUGCUUGGUGUGGCGGGUAUCGAUCCCUGCCGUGCCGAAGCUAACGCAUUAAGCAUUCCGCCUGGGGA